rnacentral:rRNA from 1 species
GAUGAACGCUGGCGGCGUGCCUAACACAUGCAAGUCGAGCGAAGCAUAUGAUAUGAAGUUUUCGGAUGGAUUAGCAUAUGACUGAGCGGCGGACGGGUGAGUAACGCGUGGGUAACCUGCCUUAUACAGGGGGAUAACAGUUAGAAAUGACUGCUAAUACCGCAUAAGCGCACAGUACCGCAUGGUACGGUGUGAAAAACUCCGGUGGUAUAAGAUGGACCCGCGUCUGAUUAGCCAGUUGGCGGGGUAACGGCCCACCAAAGCGACGAUCAGUAGCCGACCUGAGAGGGUGACCGGCCACAUUGGGACUGAGACACGGCCCAA